CCCUGGUUAGCUCAGUUGGUAGAGCGCUCCUCCUGUAAUGGAGACGUCCCGGGUUCGAUACCCGGACCAGGCG
rfam:Ixodes scapularis strain Wikel colony gcontig_1108378524006, whole genome shotgun sequence.